rnacentral:SRP_RNA from 1 species
GCUGGGUGUGGUGGUGCACACCUGUAGUCCCAGCUACUCGGGAGGCUGAGGCAUGAGAAUUGUUUGAACCCAGGAACUCAGGAGGUGGAGGGUGCAGUGAGCCGAGAUAACACCACUGCACUCCAGCCUGGGCAACAGAGCGAGACUCUGUCUCAA